ACGCACGCUGGCGGCGUGCCUAAUACCUGCAAGUAGCACGCUGAAGGAGGAGCUUGCUUCUCUGGAUGAGCUGCGAACGGGUGAGUAACGCGUAGGUAACCUGCCUGGUGGCGGGGGAUAACUAUUGGAAACGAUAGCUAAUACCGCAUAAUAGCAGUUGUUGCAUGACAACUGUUUGAAAGGUGCAAUUGCACCACUACCAGAUGGACCUGCGUUGUAUUAGCUAGUUGGUGGGGUAACGGCUCACCAAGGCGACGAUACAUAGCCGACCUGAGAGGGUGAUCGGCCACACUGGGACUGAGACACGGCCCAGACUCCUACGGGAGGCAGCAGUAGGGAAUCUUCGGCAAUGGACGGAAGUCUGACCGAGCAACGCCGCGUGAGUGAAGAAGGUUUUCGGAUCGUAAAGCUCUGUUGUAAGAGAAGAACGAGUGUGAGAGUGGAAAGUUCACACUGUGACGGUAUCUUACCAGAAAGGGACGGCUAACUACGUG
rnacentral:rRNA from 1 species